rnacentral:lncRNA from 1 species
CAAAGUUGUCGGCCUGAACUAAAAGUCGAGGGGGCACCCUGUUGUCUUCAGUUCCCUAGUGUUGGAGAGGUUCUAGUCACAUCCAAAUUGACGUGAAUUCUGCCACAAAAAUAAGCUCGACACCACACGACAUCGCUUUAUUAGCGCGAGAACACUGACCUUUGCUUUCUAGAAUCUGCAGAGUCAGCACUGCUUGUCGACCAAUGUCGACCCUUCGGACAGGUGCUGUGCACAUGCGGCGUGCAGGCAGGCGUGGGGCCAGACAGUGGCGAGGACCCGGGAGAGCCAGGAGCAGCCCUCUGGUGGGCCAUGGGCCUCUGACUUGUCCCCCUCGCUCGCCCCUGCACUUGCCCGUCUGCUGGAGGCCCGGGUUUGCCGCUCCGGGCUUGGGUAAAUUCUCAGCUUUUUCGUCUCAGCCGGGUCCACACCUUCUCUGGGGGCAGGGAUUCCAAGGAGACCUUUCUCCUCCAGAGGCCACCGGGGAGCAGAAGCUCAGCGAAGCUGAGGGACGCCCGCAGGAGGAACAUGCCUUGGACACUGGAAUCAGGGAGCCCCCCAGGAGCUGUGUGGCCUUAAGCAUAUUUCUUCCUGCUCUGAGCCUCAUCCAUAAACUGAGAACAGAAGUGGCGCCUCCAGGGGCGUAGGCCCUCCCCUCCUCUCUAAUAUGGACAAGCGAUUUCCCCAAUCCUGGGUAAAGGGCUGGAAAAACCUCAAGCCCUAUUCCAAGCAGACUGCCCUCCUAAGUGUCUCCACCCCCAAGUCUGGAGCUUCCGCAGAUCUCUUAUAAAGAGAUUAUGAAGACUGAAUGAGCAUGGAAAAUGCUUACCACUGCGUCUGGACCUAAGAAGCACCCAACCCUGGCCACGAUUAUUAUGACCUGAUGUGCAGUCUUCAAUAGCUCUGUGCCUCAGUUUCCCCAUCUGCAAAAUGGGGGUAACAAUAACACAAGAUCUCCUAGGGUGGGGCUUAAGUGAGCUGUUCUAGGAAAAACACGCAACACAGUGCCUGGUCCGUAGGAAAGUCUCCGUAAAUGUUGGCCAGUAAGUAGUUAAAUGUGGAAAUAAUUAAACAAUUGAGAGGCAGUGGUGCCUGGUGAAAAUAACGUGGUCUGUAAUUUCACAUAGACUGUGUCCAGGUUUUACCGCUUAUUAGCUUUUAGUAGAAAAGUUCUGCACCCUCUGGGAGCCAUCGUUUCUUCUCUUCCAAAUGGGGACCAUGAU